rnacentral:lncRNA from 1 species
CUUUCAGCCCUCACCUCCCAGGAAUGGGGAGGGGGCAUCCUACCCCAUAUCUGAGGUGCGACUGCGGGACGUAGAGCGGACUGGGCCUUUCCCGUUGGCGCGUGGCCUCAAUCAGGGAGUCUUCCUCUGUCACCCAGGCUGGAAUGCUGUGGCACCUUCAAGACUCACUACAGCCUCAACUUUCUGGCCUCCAGCAAUCCUCCAAACACAUCCUCCAAAGUAGCUGUUAUUACAAAGAUGGGGUUCCGCCAUAUUGCUCACGCUGGCCUAGAACUGCCGAGCUCAAAGAAUCCACCUACCGUGACGUCCCAAAGUUGUGGAAUUGCAGUGCUUCACUGGCCCCGGCCUUAUUUCCAAAAUGAAAUAACUCACAUAAGUUCUGUGGUGACAUGUAAAAACCCAAUUCCCGUAACAGCUUUCCCAACGUUGAUUUUUUAGACAUGA